rnacentral:rRNA from 1 species
AAGAGCUCGUAGGCGGCUUGUCACGUCGGUUGUGAAAGCCCGGGGCUUUUUNCCGGGUCUGCAGUCGAUACGGGCAGGCUAGAGUGUGGUAGGGGAGAUCGGAAUUCCUGGUGUAGCGGUGAAAUGCGCAGAUAUCAGGAGGAACACCGGUGGCGAAGGCGGAUCUCUGGGCCAUUACUGACGCUGAGGAGCGAAAGCGUGGGGAGCGAACAGGAUUAGAUACCCNGGUAGUCCACGCCGUAAACGUUGGGAACUAGGUGUUGGCGACAUUCCACGUCGUCGGUGCCGCAGCUAACGCAUUAAGUUCCCCGCCUGGGGAGUACGGCCGCAAGGCUAAAACUCAAAGGAAUUGNCGGGGGCCCNCACAAGCNGCGGAGCAUGUAAGCUUAAUUCGACGCAACGCGAAGAACCUUACCAAGGCUUGACAUACACCGGAAAGCAUCANAGAUGGUGCCCCCCUUGUGGUCGGUGUACAGGUGGUGCAUGACUGUCGUCAGGCUCGUGUCGUNAGAUGUUGGGUUAAGCCCCGCAACGAGCGCAACCCUUGUUCUGUGUUGCCAGCAUGCCCUUCGGGGNGAUGGGGACUCACAGGANACUGCCGGGGUCAACUC